UACGUAGGGUGCAAGCGUUGUCCGGAAUUAUUGGGCGUAAAGAGCUCGUAGGCGGCUUGUCGCGUCGGCUGUGAAAACCUGGGGCUCAACCCCGGGCCUGCAGCCGAUACGGGCGAGCUAGAAUUCGGUAGGGGAGACUGGAAUUCCUGGUGUAGCGGUGAAAUGCGCAGAUAUCAGGAGGAACACCGGUGGCGAAGGCGGGUCUCUGGGCCGAUAUUGACGCUGAGGAGCGAAAGCGUGGGGAGCGAACAGG
rnacentral:rRNA from 1 species